UGCCUACGGGAGGCAGCAGUGGGGAAUAUUGCACAAUGGGCGCAAGCCUGAUGCAGCGACGCCGCGUGAAGGAAGAAGGCUUUCGGGUUGUAAACUUCUUUUCUCAGGAACGAAGAAAGUGACGGUACCUGAGGAAUAAGCCACGGCUAACUACGUGCCAGCAGCCGCGGUAAUACGUAGGUGGCAAGCGUUAUCCGGAUUUACUGGGUGUAAAGGGCGUGUAGGCGGGAAAGCAAGUCAGAUGUGAAAACCAUGGGCUCAACCUGUGGCCUGCAUUUGAAACUGUUUUUCUUGAGUACUGGAGA
rnacentral:rRNA from 1 species